rnacentral:rRNA from 1 species
CCAAGGAGUCUAACAUGUGCGCAAGUCAAUGGGAGUUUUCUAAACCCAAAGGCGGAAUGAAAGUGAAGCCGGGGGGCGUGGUUGACCACUGCGCCCGCUCGGCGAGGGAGGAUGGCGCGGGGCGCGCGCUCUUGCAGAGGGGCGCGCGUCACUACUCCGGCCCGCACUCCCGGGGCGUCGUUCGCGGCGCACCUAGAGCGCACACGUUGGUACCCGAAAGAUGGUGAACUAUGCCUGGCCAGGACGAAGCCAGGGGAAACCCUGGUGGAGGUCCGUAGCGAUUCUGACGUGCAAAUCGAUCGUCUGAGCUGGGUAUAGGGGCGAAAGACUAAUCGAACCAUCUAGUAGCUGGUUCCCUCCGAAGUUUCCCUCAGGAUAGCUGGCACUCGGAGACAUGAAAUACUUGAAAAAAGCGAAUCUCAUUCGGUAAAGCGAAUGAUUAGAGGCCUUAGGGUCGAAACGGCCUUAACCUAUUCUCAAACUUUAAAUGGGUGAGAACGCCGGCAUCCUCAAAUGAUACCUCAGGUGAUGCCGGCGAAAGGAUCGUGAGUGUCCAGUGGGCCAUUUUUGGUAAGCAGAACUGGCGCUGUGGGAUGAACCAAACGUAGAGUUAAGGCGCCUAAACCGACGCUCAUGGGAUACCAUGAAGGGCGUUGUUUGCUUAAGACAGCUGGGCGGUGGCCAUGGAAGUCGGAAUCCGCUAAGGAGUGUGUAACAACUCACCAGCCGAAGCAACUAGCCCUGAAAAUGGAUGGCGCUAAAGCGUCGUGCCUAUACUUUACCGCCGGCGGCAAGGCUAGGGUGCCCGCACGUCCCGCGUCGGGGGCGCCGCGCGAAGCCUAACCAGCGCGCGCGGCGCAGGAGCCCUGUUAAGCCCCGGUGAGUAGGAGGGUCGCGGCGGUGAGCGCAGAAGGGUUGGGCGCGAGCCUGCCUGGAGCCGCCGUCGGCGCAGAUCUUGGUAGUAGUAGCAAAUACUCUAGCGAGACCCUGGAGGGCUGAUGUGGAGAAGGGUUUCGUGUGAACAGCCGUUGCACACGAGUCAGUCGAUCCUAAGCCCUAGGGGAAACCCGAUGCAGAUGCCGGCCUUUGUUCAGAGAUUCUUCGGGCCGCGCGUCGGGCGAAAGGGAAUCCGGUCCCCAUUCCGGAACCCGGUCGCGGAACCGUUUCACGUCGGGCCCGCGCCGAAAGGCGCAAGCUCGUCGGGGUAACCCAACAUGACCCGGAGAAGCCGUCGGGAGGUCUGGGAAGAGUUUUCUUUUCUGUUUGAGCGUUCGGGUUCCCUGGAAUUGCCUAGCGCAGAGAGAGGGAAUGGAGCGCGUAGAGCACCGCAGUUGCGGCGGUGUCCAGACAUGCCCUUCGGACCUUGAAAAUCCGGGGACGGGCCACGUGGAGGUGUCGCGCCGGUUCGUACCCAUAUCCGCAGCAGGUCUCCAAGGUGAAGAGCCUCUAGUC